CAGCAGCAACAACAGCUCGUUCUCCACAGACCGGUCCAUCUCUCGAGUUUUAUGUCUGUCUGCAUGCAGCAUGUCAUGGCCAUGAGUAUUUACAGAUGAGGCCACUGAGUCACGGGGAGGCUCCCCACCUGCUGGAGUCGACACGAAGAUGGGGACGAAGACAGGGCGGUCCUAUUCCAGGGCACGUGUUUUCAGUCAUCACCUUAGAGCGGCCUCACACACGACUGCAUGCCUAUUUCUAUAUAACUGGUCCUGUUUCGUGUGACCCCAACGUGUAGGUCUCUCACGGGAGACGGCUCCUCCUGGAUGGACCAUUCUUUGCCUGAAGGAAUCCUGCUAAGACCCCGAGGACAAGUCAGCAACUGAGUAUUACACGGCAGGAAGCGGUGCGGGCUCAGCAGGCACCCAUGGCCACAGCCCUGGGGACAGUGGGUCAUAGCCUGGGCUGAGGGAUGACCAUGAGGCAUCCUGCUGUCACAAAGAACGCACCUGCUGGGCCUGGCUGGAGCUGCUAGCCAAGCUGCCAGCAGAAGGCCCCUCAGGCACAUCCCCCUGCCGGCCUGGCUUCGCUGCCUGUUGGUGGCUUUUCGACUUUGCUUUCAGCGCCCGAGUCCUCCCGGGCGUGUGGCCCCCCAGCAUGAUGGGCUGACCUCCGAGAAAAGGGUGAUGACAUUUCUGGAAAUAAGCAGGGCCAGUGUCAGGAGGGAUUGUCCUGCCACCACAGAACUGUCACCACUUCCUGAAGGGACACUCCCAGGCCUUCUCCCGUGCAGCCCCCUGAUGGCCCAGGGUCUCAGUGCCUUGCUGAGAGUCGUGGGCGUGCCGAUCCUGCACCUCUGGUUUCCUUCCCCUCCCACUGUGGGGUGCUUCCAGCACUCAUUGGCAGGCACUGUGGACCUUGAGGCAUGUUGUAAAGUAAAUGCUUGUAUUCCCCCUAAUUUAUAUGUUGAAGCCUCACCCCCCACUGUGAUGGUGUUAGGAGGUGGGGACUUCGGGGGGUGCUGAGGUCAUGAGCGUGGGGCCCCCAUGACAGGAUGGGAGUCCUUAUAAAAGAGACCCCAGAGAGCCCCCUCACCCCCUUCCAUUAGGUGAGGACACUGAAAAUGUGUCUGUGAACCAAAAAGCAGGAUCUCACCAGACUCCGAAUCUUCAGGCACCUUGAUCUUGGACUUCAGCCCCCGGGGCUGUGAGGAAUAAAUAAAUGUU